rnacentral:tRNA from 2 species
GAAAGUGGCCUAAUGGUAUGGCACAAGCUUCCCAAGCUUGCGGUUGCGGGUUCAAAUCCCGUCUUUC